AUUGAACGCUAGCGGCAGGCCUAACACAUGCAAGUCGAGCGAGCGGCGGACGGGUGAGUACUGUAUGGGGACUGCCCGAUAGAGGGGGAUAACUACUGGAAACGGUGGCUAAUAACGCAUACUAUCGGAUAACCCAUAUGGGAUUAGCUAGUAGGUUGGGUAAAGGCUCACCUAGGCGACGAUCUCUAUCUGGUCUGAGAGGAUGAUUAGCCACACUGGGACUGAGACACGGCGCCGCCUCUUACGGAGGCAGCAGUGGAGAAUAUUGCACAAUGGCAGCAAUCCUGAUGCAGCCAUGCCGCGUGUAUGAAGAAGGCCUUAGGGUUGUAAAGUACUUUAAGCGGGGAGGCGUUACCCGCAGAAGAAGCACCGGCUAACUCCGUGCCAGCAGCCGCGGUAAUAC
rnacentral:rRNA from 1 species